GGGGCGCUGAGGGCGCUGAAGGAGCCGCGCAGGUGGCGGCGCAGGGGGGCGCUGUGGGGCAGCGCCUGCAACUCGGGGGCAGCGACGCCAGCAGGGCCAGCAGCACGGCGGCCUCUGCAGGCUGCAGUUCGGGGCCGUCCCCCCCCCGCGCCCCCCGGGCCAGAAACCCAUAGAGGCGCCCAUAAUCGACCCCCAAAGGCCCCCCCUUCAGACUGAGCGGUUCCGUCCCCGCCAGCGUCAGCGCCUGAGAGAACGCCGCCGCCGCCGCCUCCUCCAAUGGUCCGACUGCGGUCUGUGCCAAAUGCAGCCAGAACUCGAUGGGCGCCGGGCGCUGCCCCCUCCUCUGCCCCCCCCCCUCCUGCAGUGGGUUGCGGUGCUGAGCGCUCAGAGCCUCCCGCGCCGCCCGGCCCCGCAGCCGGGUCAGCUCCCAGCGGAUCUCGGCCUCGCUCCUACGCGGCAGCCAUUCGGCCAUUCUCCAGGGUUGCGGCUCCGUGAGUCCCAGCGCCGCCUGAUCCCGCAGCGCCCGCAGCAGCGCCCGCUUCUCCCGCACCGUCCACGCCGCUUUGGGGGGGGAACCGCCGCCCCCGGGCCCGCCCUGAACCGCGCCGGGGCCGAACGGGGCCGCAACGGCGGCUUCAUGUUGG
rnacentral:lncRNA from 1 species